UUCUGACCUCAAAUCAGGUGGGACUACCCGCUGAACUUAA
rnacentral:rRNA from 1 species